GCGGGAGUAGUUCAACUGGUUAGAGCACCGGUCUGUCACGUCGGAAGUUGCGGGUUCAAGUCCCGUCUCCCGCG
rfam:Chlamydiae bacterium SM23_39 WORSMTZ_58984, whole genome shotgun sequence.